rnacentral:rRNA from 1 species
GACGAACGCUGGCGGCGUGCUUAACACAUGCAAGUGGAGCGACGAACCAGGCUUCGGCCUGGGGCAAAGCCGCGAACGGGUGAGUAACACGUGGGUAACCUGCCCCGACGACCGGGACAACUCGAGGAAACUCGAGCUAAUACCGGAUGUGCUCUCCUCGCAUCAGCGAGGUGAGGAAAGGAAGCUUCGGCCUCCGCAUCGGGAUGGGCCCGCGGCCCAUUAGCUUGUUGGGAGGUAACGGCUCACCAAGGCUUCGAUGGGUAGCUGGUCUGAGAGGACGAUCAGCCACACUGGGACUGAGACACGGCCCAGACUCCUACGGGAGGCAGCAGUGGGGAAUCUUGCGCAAUGCGCGAAAGCGUGACGCAGCAACGCCGCGUGGGGGGAAGAAGGGCUUUCGGGUUGUAACCCCUUUCAGGAGGGACGAAGCCUGGUCGGUGAAUAGCCGAGCCAGGUGACGGUACC